ensembl:lncRNA
CUCCUAUCCCCUGCUCUAUUGUGCAAUGUGACUUUGCCUCUUCUUCAUCAUAAGCAUUUCUUCACAGCAAGUGGAAGAAAGGAAAGAAUGGAGUUGAAAGAGGAGGUAAUCCCAUUAGAGACUGAAUCUGAGAACAUGUCUCCUUCGAAGAUGUGUUGUUUCUCCAUGAUCCUCAAAUGUCUCAAAUAAAGAUAUUACCGCUGUUCAUGCCCUGUUUAUAAACCCAGGCUAUGGGACCUCGGCCUUCUGAACACAAAUCUCUCAGGCAGAUGUAACAUGACAGAUAAGCGGUGUGACUCUCAGUCUUUCUGUACAUGAGCACAUGGUCUUAUUAAGAGGACAGAUAAACAAAGUCACUUAUGCCUCCACGUGUGCCUUAUGCUCAGUCUUGUCUCACUCUUCGUGACCCCACGGACUGUAGCCCACCAGGCUCCUCUGUCCAUGGGAUUUUCCAGGCAAGAAUACUGGAAUGGGUUGCCAUUUCCUUCUCCAGGGGAUCUUCCCCACCCAGGGAUUGAACUAUAUCUCCUGUGUCUCCUGCAUUGCAGGUGGAUUCUUUACCCACUGAACCAUCAGGGAAGCCCCAGAAGGGAUGCACCUGGGGAGCAUUAAACCUCUAGAUAGCUUUUUGACUUUACAGUUGGAAAGGGCAGAGGGAUCCUUUCUGGAAUAUUCCCAAGUAUUUAUUUGAACUUGUGCCCCCUCUUCUUGCACCAUUUGCCUCAGUGAUCCAGACCUCAGCCUUGAUGCUGCAAAGCUCUGCCCAUUGGGAGAGCUGGAUUCUCAGCAUGGCCCGUCUAGCUCCAUCUCACAGUUGUUACUCUCUUUCUCUCUCAAGAACACAGCGCCUAAUUUUUUACCUCCGUUGGCACAACUUCCCAAUAUUCUCUUCCCCGACUGGCUUAGGGCUUGGUCUGGAGCCACUCGACUCACUUUCCACCCCCUUGAUUCUCAUCUUAUUAUCAGAUUUUCUCCCCUUCUCUUGAACGGGAGGCUUGGGGGAAGGGAUUGUUUUGGCUGGAAUUUGACAAGGCACAGGUGGUUUUACCAGCUGCAAGUUCUUUAGUUCUUGUUGGCUGCCCACCAACUCUUGGUCUUUUCACAGUUCUUUCAGGGGUGGCGGCGGCGGAGGAGGGGCAGGAAGGGACAGUAGGUCCUUGAUGUUGUUGUUCCCCAUCAGCAGCUGUCUCAGGUUGGCAUUGAGUCCAGGGCGGUCCUUCAGGAAGAGCUGUUUUGUUUUUCUCCCCCCGGCCCCAGAAUUUUUCCCC